rnacentral:tRNA from 1 species
GCCAAUAGCUUAAUGGUAGAGCGUUCGACUCAAUAACAAAUGGUCGCGGGUUCGAAUCCCAGGUUUGGCA